GCACUGGAUAGCUCAGUUGGUUAGAGUGCAGUGCUGAUAAUGCUAAGGUUGAAGGUUCGAUCCCUAUAUGGGGCA